GGCUCAGUGGUCUAGGGGUAUGAUUCCUGCUUUGGGUGCAGGAGGUCCCGGGUUCAAAUCCCGGCUGAGCCC
rfam:Zootermopsis nevadensis contig10925, whole genome shotgun sequence.